rnacentral:tRNA from 1 species
AAAAAGAUCAGCUAAUUCAAGCUAAUGGGCUCAUACCUCAAAAAUAAAGGUCUCAAUCCUUUUCUUUUUG